rnacentral:misc_RNA from 1 species
UACGGAGGGGGCGAGCGUUGUUCGGAAUUACUGGGCGUAAAGGGCGCGUAGGCGGUUCGGUUGGUUGGAGGUGAAAGCCCUGGGCUCAACCUGGGAGGUGCCUUCAAUACGGCCGGACUUGAGAGCGGGAGAGGAUGACGGAAUUCCCAGUGUAGAGGUGAAAUUCGUAGAUAUUGGGAAGAACACCGGUGGCGAAGGCGGUCACCUGGCCCGCUUCUGACGCUGAGGCGCGAAAGCGUGGGGAGCAAACAGG